CGUAGGUGGCAAGCGUUGUCCGGAUUUAUUGGGUUUAAAGGGUGCGUAGGCGGUCUUUUAAGUCAGUGCUGAAAUACUCCAGCUUAACUGGAGGGGUGGCAUUGAUACUGGGAGACUUGAGUGUAGUCGAGGUAGGCGGAAUUGACGGUGUAGCGGUGAAAUGCUUAGAUAUCGUCAAGAACACCGAUAGUGAAGACAGCUAACUAGGCUACAACUGACGCUGAGGCACGAAAGUGUGGGGAUCAAACAGGAUUAGAUACCCUGGUAGUCCACACUGUAAACGUUGAUGACUCGCUGUGUGCGAUAUACAGUACGCGGCUAAGCGAAAGCGAUAAGUCAUCCACCUGGGGAGUACGCCGGCAACGGUG
rnacentral:rRNA from 1 species